AUUGAACGCUGGCGGCAGGCCUAACACAUGCAAGUCGAGCGGAUGAAGGGAGCUUGCUCCUGGAUUCAGCGGCGGACGGGUGAGUAAUGCCUAGGAAUCUGCCUGGUAUUGGGGGAUAACGUCCGGAAACGGGCGCUAAUACCGCAUACGUCCUGAGGGAGAAAGUGGGGGAUCUUCGGACCUCACGCUAUCAGAUGAGCCUAGGUCGGAUUAGCUAGUUGGUGGGGUAAAGGCCUACCAAGGCGACGAUCCGUAACUGGUCUGAGAGGAUGAUCAGUCACACUGGAACUGAGACACGGUCCAGACUCCUACGGGAGGCAGCAGUGGGGAAUAUUGGACAAUGGGCGAAAGCCUGAUCCAGCCAUGCCGCGUGUGUGAAGAAGGUCUUCGGAUUGUAAAGCACUUUAAGUUGGGAGGAAGGGCAGUAAAUUAAUACCUUGCUGUUUUGACGUUACCAACAGAAUAAGCACCGGCUAACUUCGUG
rnacentral:rRNA from 1 species